UCUAUUACAUGGUUAGAUUUAGUUCGAAUUUCACUUGAGGACAUAAUUCAACCGAUCUCAGCUGUUAUCUUUAUAUUCUAUAAGGUGAGAAACAUGGUGGUAUAAAUGGUUUAAUAGAAAUCCUUCUCAUUUAUUUACUGUGAAUGGGCACUCCUACUUUUAAGGGGAGGAUUGUGACUUAGCCAGAGAAGAACAUGCAUUAGAUCCAACUCAUUCAUUAAAUGAACGGCUACAUUCUCCUCCAAAUAUUAAAAUUCAGACUACCCUAUCAUUGUGUGGUCCCGUCGUGAUGUAAGUUUUUUAAAACUUAUAAAAUCCAUCAGCGUUGGUGCACAUUUGGACCUGGAAUGGACAGUGCAAAGGAAGAAGAGAGGGAAAUGGCUAUUGUCAUGCAAGCAAUGGUAGCUUGUGUAUCAGCUGUAGGGGAAUACUGUCACGUAUAUAUGUUCAGACAGCUGGCGCGACACGAAGAUGAUGAGCGGGCGAGGUUCAUCAACUCUAUAAUUUGGGCGACAGAAGUGGAUUGUAUAGCUCAACUCGGGAUGAGUCGAGAUGCUUUCUUUGAGUUGUGUACUACACUUUGUGAGAAGAUACAUUUGCUUGACACCCGUCAUGUCAGUCUUGAAGAACAGGUGGUUAUGUUCCUUCAUACAGUUGGCCAUAAUGUUCACAAUAGGGUCAUAGGGCACAGAUUUAUUCAAUCCGGGGAAACCAUUAGCCUUCACUUUAACCGUGUUUUGGAUUCCAUUGUAUCAUUAUACCCAGAGUUUGUUAAACAGCUAAGCUCAAAGACACCACCCGAGAUUCAGACGAAUAUCAGUUGGGCUCCAUACUUUCAGGACUGUGUUGGUGCAAUUGACGGGACACAUAUACCGGCUCUGGUCCAGUCUGCAGAUCAUGUGAGCUUCCGCAAUCGAAAAGGAUUCCUCUCACAAAAUGUACUCGUGGCAUAUUCAUUUGACAUGAAUUUCCUUUACAUAUUAGCUGGUUGGGAGGGUUCAGUCUCGAAUGCGCGGGUGCUACACAAUGCUCUGACCCAAUCAGAUGAUCCAUUACAUGUCCCGCAUGGUACUGGUUACAUCUCUCCUAGAUUACCCAUCCAUUUCAUAUUCAUAAAAUAUUCGAGUGUCCAUUUGAUAGAACAUUCAUUUAAAUGUGUAGGGAAAUACUAUGUUGUCGACACUGGAUAUGCGCAUUCACCCGGUUUUAUGGCUCCAUACCGCAGCAUGUGCCACCACUUACAAGAGUAUCGAACCGUGAGAGCACCUGCGAAUAUGAAUGAGUUGUUUAAUUAGCGACAUACACAAUUACGUAAUGCAAUCGAGCGUUGUUUUGGUGUACUGAAAAAUAGAUUUCCCAUAUUGAAGACAACCAUUCCGUAUGAGUUUCACACACAAGUGAAAAUUGUUUUAGCGUAUUGCGUUCUACACAAUUUCAUACGAUUCGUACUUCAGUCUCGUGACGAUGGAUCUUUUCCUAUAGAGGAGAGUAACCCAAUACCUCAUGAGGUGUUAACAAAUGACGAAAGGCAAUGGUUGCUACGCGUCACUCAACAAGAAAAGGAUGCUUGAAAUCAUGUGCGGGAUGAUAUUGCUGCUCGAAUGUGGGCAGAUGCGCAACAGAGCAGUGACAUGGCAGACCCAAGGUCUAAUGAUAGUUCAACACCGACACAAUCACCGCUUAGGACACCUGUGAUGCUGACGCGAAGUUCACCACGUGGGAAGACAGUCAAAUCCCUCGCUGAGCCUCUAUCUCAAGCGGUUAAAAUUAAAUGGAGUGCUGAAAUAGAUCAAGUGCUCUUCAACGUCCUGCUAGAACAGGUCGCUUUGGGACGUAAGGUAGAUAAUGGUUUUAAGAAUGAAGCCUACCAAGUAAUAGCAGAAGAGGUCAUGAAGCAUACGGACCUACCUGUCAACUGGCAGAAUGUGCAGAACCGUCUGAGGUAUUACAAGCGUGAAUAUAUUGCGAUCAGGGACAUGCUAGCAGCUAGUGGGUUCGGAUGGGAUAAUGAGCGCAUGGUCAUUACGGCCCCUGAUGAGGUUUGGGAGGAUUACCUGAAGUCUCACCCGCGUGCUACACAUCUAUGCGGGAAAAGGAUUGAAAGAAUGGAUGACCUUGCAGUCAUCGUCGGCUCCGAUCAAGCAACUGGACGAUAUGCGUAAGGAAGUAUGACUAUGGUCACGUCAUCCACUAGAAUUCAGCGAGAUCUCAAUGAGUCCUGGAGAGAUGCUGAAGAUGAUCUGAAGAAUACCAUUAACCUCUCUGAGGGCCACGUAGCGGACUCGCCAGGCGAAAAUUUUUCCUCAGAUAGUCCAUCGAUGGGAAGACGCGGAACCCGUGGCACUUCUAGUCGGACUCCAGAGUCUGACUGUAAUUGAGAUGGGGGUGCAUCAAAGAAACGUAUGCGGCCUCCUCAUCCCUACGAUGUACUCGGCAUCUCCCUUAAUACCGUUGCAAAGGCAAUGCACGAUUUGGCCUCGACAAGGAGGUAAAUCAUACUACAAAGGUACUUGAUGUUCUUGAGGAGGUGCAAGGGUUGACCAACUCAGAAUUUAUCGAAAUUGGGCAACUGUUGAGCCGGGAUGAGAAGCUGGGAUCGUUUUUUGUCAGUUUUCGACCCGAGAGGCGCGUUGAGUGGCUGCAGAGAACACUCCGCGAGAAUGAUCUCAAUGAUGGAGUUGGGUCGGUCUGACAUGCUCUUACCCGUCGUUGUGUUGAUCUGUUGUUUUAUGAGAUUGUAAUAACUUUUUAUACGCUAGGGAUUGUUUGUUUGAUGUUUGUUUUUUUUUUUUUUUUGGAUGUUUGGAUAACCAAAUUGGUAUAUCAUGUAUACCAAUUUGAUAGGUGUCGUAAUACUCUGAUUUUCUGGUUUAAUAUAUUUUAUAUAUGUUCCGCCACAUGCUUGUUCCUCAGCAAAUUAAGAGAGAUAGAGCCACACACAUCGUAUGGACGAAGGAUGGCAAAGGAGAAAUACUAUGUUGUUCUCGUGGGCCAUUGACCUGGCAUUUAUCUGACGUGGGACGAUGCUAGGCUGGAGGUUGAAGGAUUCAGCGGAGGAGACACCAGGCAUUCAAGAAUUGGAGGGAAGUGGUUUCCUGCUGGGAGAGUUACUUCGAGGGGACUGGUGCACAAUUGCGGACUACGACAGAAACUCACGCAGUUUAUGUCGCCGUACAGUUAGACGAGGUCAACAUCCAUCGUUCGUCAACUUCGUCUAUCCAUCAGUCAACCCAUGGCAGGGUUUCCAAGUCCACAACGACUAAUGAUCUUGGCCCAUCCUGUGGAGAGAGUUUCUGUGUACUUCUGAUUGGCAUUCUCGUCAUUUUCUUCGCCUUGCUUAUCAUUAUUAAAUUCUAGCUGUAGAGGUUUUGUAACAUAAUGAAUGUUAUUUUUUGGAUCUCUUUUUUUUUUUUUGGAGGAAAUUUGAUUGUAUGUUUUCCUAGCUUUCUUUAGCUUAGCAUUCUUUACCUUUAUCUUAGAUUGUAUAGUUUUUUUCUUUUAUCUAUCUUUCAUUGCAGAUCUACCUUAAAGUGUAUGGGUUUUUAUAUAUGCAGAUUGUAUAGUUUUCUAACCAUUUUUUGGAGGGAGUAACCCUUACGACAGUAGGGUGGGACCCACAUAAGACCAUUGCAGUGGGAGCAUAUUGGCUACUCCCCCUGACACCAGCCAUUGGCUGGUGGUCGGUGCUCCGUAGGGCCCACCAUGAUGUAUGUGUUUCAUCCAUGAUGUCCAUAUAUUUUUACAUAUCAUUUUAUGAUAUGAUUAAAAAAAACAUGAAGCACAUCUCAAUCUCAGGUGGACCACAUUACAGGAAACAACUAGAAUGAAUUUUGACCAUUAAAAGAGUUUUGGGGGCCAUAUUAGUUUGGAUUUCGGGAUAUUUAUUUUUACCCUUCAUCUGGGUCUUCUUGACCAUAUCAACAGAUUGGAUGUCAAGUAAACAGUACAGUGGGCCUUACGGAGGAUUUUAAUUGUGAAUAUCCCACGGUAUUUUUUGUCCUGUGGUGUAGCCGGCCUAAGAUUUAUAUCUCUAUCAUAUUUUGUAUCAAGUCCUAAUAUGAUAAGUAAAAAUGGUUGAACGGAUGGUAUGAAACACGUACAUCAUGGUGGGACCCACAGAGCACCAACGACCAGCCACAGGGCUGGUGUCAGGGGGAGUAGCCAAUCCGUUCUCA